ACUCCUACGGGAGGCAGCAGUGGGGAAUUUUGGACAAUGGGCGCAAGCCUGAUCCAGCAAUGCCGCGUGAGUGAAGAAGGCCUUCGGGUUGUAAAGCUCUUUCAGUUGAGAAGAAAAGAUUGUGACUAAUAAUUGCAAUUCAUGACGGUAUCAACAGAAGAAGCACCGGCUAACUACGUGCCAGCAGCCGCGGUAAU
rnacentral:rRNA from 3 species